GACGAACGCUGGCGGCGUGCUUAACACAUGCAAGUCGAACGGAAAGGCCCUGCUUUUGUGGGGUGCUCGAGUGGCGAACGGGUGAGUAACACGUGAGUAACCUGCCCUUGACUUUGGGAUAACUUCAGGAAACUGGGGCUAAUACCGGAUAGGAGCUCCUGCUGCAUGGUGGGGGUUGGAAAGUUUCGGCGGUUGGGGAUGGACUCGCGGCUUAUCAGCUUGUUGGUGGGGUAGUGGCUUACCAAGGCUUUGACGGGUAGCCGGCCUGAGAGGGUGACCGGCCGCAUUGGGACUGAGAUACGGCCCAGACUCCUACGGGAGGCAGCAGUGGGGAAUAUUGCACAAUGGGCGGAAGCCUGAUGCAGCAACGCCGCGUGCGGGAUGACGGCCUUCGGGUUGUAAACCGCUUUCGCCUGUGGCGAAGCGUGAGUGACGGUAAUGGGUAAAGAAGCACCGGCUAACUACGUG
rnacentral:rRNA from 1 species